rnacentral:rRNA from 1 species
CGWCGCASMRSAUGAGARGAGCUUGCUCUUCGAUUCAGCGGCGGACGGRUGAGUAAUACCUAGGAAUCUGCCUGGUAGUGGGGGACAACGUUUCGAAAGGAACGCUAAUACCGCAUACSUCCUACGGGAGAAAGCGGGGGACCUUCGGGCCUUGGGCUAUCWSAUGASCCUASGUCGGAUUAKCUAGUUGGUGAGGUAAUGRCUCACCAAGGCUACGAUCCGUAACUGGUCUGAGAGGAUGAUCAGUCACACUGGAACUGASACACGGUCCAGACUCCUACGGGAGGSAGCAGUGGGGAAUAUUGGACAAUGGGCGAAAGCCUGAUCCAUCCAUGCCGCGUGUGUUAAGAAGGUCUUCGGAUUGUAAAGCACUUUAAGUUGGGAGGAAGGUUAGUAAGCRAAUACCUUGCUGUGUUGACGUUCCCGACARAUUAWUCACCGGCUAACUCUGUGCCAGCACCCGCGRUAAUACARASUGUGCAAGCGUUAAUCGCAAUUACUGUCCGUAGAGCGCGCGUAGGUAGUUCGUAUCGUUGAAUGUGAGAUCUACGGGCUCAUCCUGUCAUCUGCAU